UAAAGUGCGAAAAGUAAUGCGAAUUGCAUACUCUGCGAGUCAUCUAGUCUUUGAACGCAAAUGGCACUGUCAUGUCAAGUGAUAGUAUGCCUGUUUGAGAACCAAAUAUCAUCUUACAACUAGAUAGUUGUAGACCAUGGCUUUCACCCCUGGGGUGUUGGCUUGAACUGAUUUUGCAUUGAGCCCUUAACAAUGUGUGAUAGUGAAUUCAAUUCAUAAGCAUAGUGUUGGGGCUCCAAGGUGCAAUCCGUGUGUGUGUUACGAUAACAUCAUUACACACACACACAACAUAACAUAACGGUCUCAAAUCAGGCAAGGCUACCCGCUGAACUUAA
rnacentral:misc_RNA from 1 species